ACUCCUCGCACCGUCCUUUGUUCGCAGCUUCGAGUCGAAGCAACGCCGUUCGAGCCGAUUUCGUCGUCGUCUACGCCGCCCCGUCGCUCGUCGUCGCAAGGAAAAUUGGCAGCCUUCGUCUUCAACCGCGCCGAUUCGCCAUCCGCCACCCGCUUUUCGCCGUCUUUCUCCAUCCCGUCUACGUCAGCAUCUCCGUCGCUGAGCCGUCGAAUGUUGAUAGCCGCCAUCCGUCGUCGUUCGUCUGUCGCGACUUAGCCACGAAAAAAACCAGAAAACCCGAGCCGCGUCCGCCGCCAGCAACUCACGCGCCUCCAUAGCCGCGUGAAGCCGACCUGACCCGCACGCCCGUGCCUGCACCGUAGUCGAGUCGCCAUACACGUGUGAGCCGCCUGCUCGAGCCAUCCUGCGCGCUUGAGCCGCCUGUCCGAGCUGCCCUCUGCGUUCUAGCCGAGCCGCCUAGCCGCUUCACCUGUCUUUGAGCCGCCAACCUGUUUUUGGUCAUUUUCACCUGUUUUGGGACAUCUUGGACCAAUUGAUUCCUGGAGCGUGGGAUUUCUCCACUUAAAGACUUAUUCGUUGCAACCUCGACCUCGGACUUCACUGCUUGGAAAGCGUGAUUUUACUGUUAGAAUUUGAGUGAGCAAAUCUCCAGGUAAGAGAUUCUACUAUUAGACCUGCGAGAGGAAUUAAGAGAUCGCAUGUAUUUUUUUGUUAUGCAUAUUGAUGACUAGAUUGCAUAACGGCAUGGUAAUUAAUGAUGAUAUGAUAUGACAUGAUGACAUGAUAUGACAUGAUGAUAUGGUAUGACUUGAUGAUGUGAUGAUGAUUUGUUACGUGCAUGUUAUGGCUAGGGUGUAUGUUAGCUUAUCCUAUUAGAGUCGUACCUGCAUGGAUGUCCUUCGGAAUCACCACCUUUUUAAGAUUGCGCAGUCCGACGGGAUCGUCAGUCUGGCAUUGACAUAGACAUGAUUCGAGUGAUUCGACGGGAUCGCUCGCAGUCCGAUUGUCUUAGUAUUUCCUCCGGGUACACUACAGACCACUUUGUCCUAGGUGUUCCUUUGGGUCCACCGAAGACCAGUUAUGUUUCUUCGGGAUCACAUAUUGCACGUAUUCGGGAACGUGCCAGUUCUUGGGUACCACUUUCAGGACUCUAAUAGGAAGUUAACAGGCACCUAGCGGGACUAGUAGUGGGUCCCUUACUGAGUAUUUUAUACUCACUCUUUCCAUUUCUAUUUUUUUAGGCAGGGGCAGAGGUAAGGGCAAAGGCAAGCUGGCGAACGACCAGAAGUGACCAUGACAAGCCAUAGGGAUCUUUUGCUUCCGCUUUAUGUCAUAGUUCAGAUUUUGAUGUUUGCAUUUUACUUUAUUCUUUAAUUGUUAUUUUACUUCUUUAAAAUUAGA